CCUCCAUUCAAUGAGCGUCUGCUGCUUCGCCCAGGGCUGCCCCGUGGGAUCGUCCUUUAUGUCUCUGACCUUCUUGGGGUACUUUUUCUCCAUUUCACCUGGCGCCAGAGAAUCCCCGCAUGGAGAAGCUGAUGCCUUGAUCUGCGGUCCCUGGCAGAGCGGCCCAGGGACCCUGUCUGGGGAAGCCCCAGUGACGCCCCCACUCCAUGGAAGGCAGCCUAGGCCCAUGGGUCCCUGCACUUGAUCUGGGUCUGAGCUCUGAGGGCCUCAGGCCUCCCUGACCUCAACUGUGGUCACACAGGCACACUCACUCGCCAGCUUGGCCAGAGCUGCUGGUCUGCCGGGAUCACAGGAUGGGAGGAGGCUCUGUCAGGCCAGCCCACAGGGAGCCUUGUUUGGCAGGGCCCUAGGGCCGGCCUAGCCCGGAGCUGGCCAGGACAGAGAGCGGGCCACUCUGUCCCACGGGUAGCCAGGACUGAGAGGCUGGGAGUGGAGAAUGUCCUCAGAUGGUAGGGGAGGCCCACCUUUGCACAUGAAGGCUGCCCUUCUCACCCUGUGGCUCCCCCUCCCCCGUGCCUUGUACCCCCACCUGGAGCCUGCUGCCCCCCCUCACAAGCCAGCCCCCUGGACACAAGGCCUUGGAGCCCCACCUGUCAAGGACAGAUGCCAGGUGGGAUUAUGGGGCUUCGGGCACUGGCCGUGUGGCCCGGCUCUGUCACUGACUGUGUGACCUUGGAGAAAUCACUGAGCGUACCUGGGCCUCAGGCUUCUCAUCCAGGAGAUGAGACUGCACACAGUCCCUGCCUCCCAGGUGGCCAUCUCCAAGAGCCUGGUGAGCCUGGGCCAGCUCCAGAGAUCGGGAAAAGCAGGGCAGCAUCCCAAACACCCAGCCCUGGAGGCCUGUAGCUGGGGGCAUUUCCUGCAAGGGCUGGUCAGUCUUGCAGACCUCCCAGGACGGCAAGCCCAGAGCCUCUCCAGGCAGCGAUAACUCCAGUCUGUGAGCUUAGCCUCAGUCAUCUUCCCUCCAAGUUCCUGGGUCUGCUGCUCAAGGUCCCCUUAAAGAAGGAUGAGACGGGUUGGUCAGAACAGAGUCAGGCAGUGAGCUUGCUCACAGCUAGCUCCUGCAACCAUGAGGAAAGCCUGUCUAGCCCACUGCCCCGGCUGUGCUCUACCUGGGCCUGAUGAGGUCUCAAUCUUGGGACAAGAGGCUCGCUGCCCCACAGGCUCCUGAGAGAGCAGCUAGGUCACCAUCCCUCAAGGUCACAUCAUGAACCUUCGACAUCCUUCAGGCCAACUCAGGGGAGGAGGGGAAAGGAAGGGACAAUCAUUGAUUUGGGCCUGUCACCUUCCUGUCUAUUACCACCCCCAUUUUAUAGUUGAGGAAGUGGAGGCAGACUUGCCAGGCUAGAUUCGAACUCAGAUCUUUUUCACUCCAGACCCAGCUCUAUCUGGGGGGCCUCCCAGCUGCCCAAAGCCAUUUCCUCAGAGGAAUGGGUGGGUCAGGAGAUGCUUAGAGGUGACAGAAGAGCUGCCUGGGCUGCAGGGCAGGGGUCAUCCUCUGUAAGCCCCUUGAGGGCACGCCUAGUGCCCAGCAAAGUGCUGGCUCUUGGGAGGUCAAGCGAUGACUGAUUGGUGCUGCUAGGAGCCCCAUAAGCUGCCUUGUCCAAACCUCUCCUUGAUAGCCAGGGAAACCGAGGUCCAGAGAGGGCAAUGGCAGAGCCCCGCCUCCCCUUUCCCCACUCCCCAAGGUGUCCUCCCAAUGUCUGCUGGGCCUGGGCUCUGGCCUAGAGGUCGCCCUCCUGAGUCAGAGCCUUCAGUGUCUCUGUUCACAGCCCUCCUCACCAACAUGGCCUUCUUAAUCUAGCUGAAGAGGGGAGUUCUGCGCACACCUCCCAGGCAGCAGCAGCAGGAGAGACACCUCCAGAAGAUGAGCAGGCCCACCUCAUGUGGCCCUCCCGCCUCAGGCUGCCAUGAGCCAGGAACCAGCUGCCCUGAGGGAAGGACAUCAGCCCAUGGAGGGGUCCAGGUCCCAUCACUCCAUCAGCUCCAGGGCUAGGACUCUCUCCCAGGUGCCCUGGAGGCCUGGGCUCAACUCUUCAGGCUCUACUGGGGCUGUGGAGUGGGGAGAAGGGCAGAGGCUGCCCAUCCCAGCUGCUAAUCAGAGAGGUGUAGGCUCACCUUUGGGUGUGCCCCAUGGGUGUGACUCAGGCCUCUCUCAAUCUUAGAUGGAGGAGCCCUCAUCACCCUGGGAACAGGGCCCCCACCCCCUCCCCUUGUACACCAGGGAGUCAGAAGAAGCCAGAACCACCGGACCCGGGGUGGGGAGGAGGGAAAGGGGGAGGGGGGCAAUGUCCCUCUUCUGAAGGGAAGCAGGAUCCUGUCCGAAGGCCCCAGGGGCAGCUACAAGACCAUCUUUCAGGAAAAUGACCUCUCACAUGCCUUCUGGCUCUGAGUGUUGUAAAUGAAUGAAUGAGUGGGUGUUUAUCAUGAAUAAAUGAAUGAAUGUGUGGGUGUUUA